rnacentral:lncRNA from 1 species
AGAACUCCCAAUGUAAGAUUUUUCAGUCUCCAUGACUGUAUGAUAUUUCUUGAGCAGUACAGCAGCCUUGGUGCAGGAGCAGAAGGAAGAAUGUGAAAAGUAUUGGAUACGUGAGCUCUGACUGAAAGCUGUGGCAGGAAGAUCUUUCUCUGCCAAAUGUUAGGCAUAAAGUUCUAUUUUGGUGAGAUGUUUUAAGGAAAGAUUAGAGACUCAGAACUUCUUGAUCUUAAUUCUGCUACAAAUUUCCUGUGUUCCUUUAAGGAAAUAAUUGCAAACCAUUCCGGCAAAUUCACAACGGAGGCUGUAUAAAUUUACAUUCCCACCAGCAGUGUAUAAGUGUUCCCUUUUCUCCACAUCCUCUCCAACAUCUGUUGUUGUUGUUGUUGUUGUUGUUUUUAACUUUUUAAUAAUAGCCAUUCUGACUGGUGUAAGAUGGCAUCUCAUUGUUGUUUUAAUUUGCAUUUCUCUGAUGAUUCAUGAUGUUGAGCAUUAUUUCAUGUUUGUUGGCUGCUUGAAAUUUUAAUUUUUAAGUAAUGUUCCAAGUUAUUGUUGAAUCUAUAACAAAAAUUAUUAGAAGACCCUUCUACAGCCAGGCAUGGUGGCUCACUCCUGUAAUCCCAGCACUUUGGGAGGCCGAGGUUGGUGAAUCACCUGAGGUCAGGAGUUCGAGACCAGCCUGGCAAACAUGGUGAAACCCCAUUUUUACUAAAAAUACAAAAAAUAGCCAGGCAUGGUGGUAUGUGCCUGUAAUCCCAGCUACUUGGGAGGCUGAGGUGAUACCAGGAUGAUGCCAAGCAAAUAAGGCUUUGAUACAUCCAUGAACCCUUGACUUAGGAGGAAGGAGGAGAGUGUGGCCUGAAACUGAAAGCUGCCUACUCAUUCUUUUAGAAGUAGACACGAUCCAGUUAGAAAUAUACUUACAGGUGGCCGGGUAUGGUGGCUCACGCCUGUAAUCCCAGCACUUUGGGAAGCUGAGGCGGGUGGAUCAUGAGGUCAGGAGGUCAAGACUAGUCUGACCAAUAUGGUGAAAACCCGAGUCUACUAAAAAUACAAAAAUUAGCUGGGCCUGGUGGCGCGCAUCUGUAGUCCCAGCUACUUGGGAGGCUGAGGUAGGAGAAUCGCUUGAACCCAGGAGGUGGAGGUUGCAGUGAACCGAGGUUGUGCCACUGCACUCCAGCCUAGCUGACACAGCGAGGCUCCAUCUCAAAAAAAUAAAAUAAAAUAAAAUAAAUAUACUUACAAUCUAUACUAAUAAUGAUGAAGAUUCAUAUCAUAGAAUUCUAGAAUCCUAUGGAUAAGAGGGACUUUAAACAUAGAACCCACCAUAGUUCACAGAUGAAAAGAUAGAGUAUAUAGAAGUUGCUUCAAUUCCAUUUCAUCAAAAUACACUGAGUGCUUAAUAGAUUAUAAAAAUAAUAUUAUACAUGGAAGGGAAAAAGUAUCAAAAGGGCCAGAUCUUUCCUCAGAGCUUAUCAUCUCAUGAGUAUUAUAAGUGUGCCAAUCAAGGCAAAUAUAGUAGGUCCUUCAGUUGUGAUGCAAACAAAUUGUCAGGAAUCACAGAAUAGAAAAACAUCACUUUGGACUCAAGGGGCCCAGAAAAUCCACAGAAGAGAGAUCUGAGCUAGGUUUAAAUGCAAGAGUAUUUUAUGCAGGAUGAGUUGGAAGGGAUACUCUCUCUACCUCUUAGCAGAUUUCACAGAAUAAUCAAAUUUUGCCACUCAAUAAUUUUCUCAGGUCUUCUUGCUUAACCGCUCAUAUUUAUCUAUUAGGGUGCCACUAGGAUUGGCCUUCAUAAGUUUAUUCUGACAGAGCAAUAGGAGAAAAUGUCUGUAUUGAAGGCACAGCAAGGAUGGGGUAGAUUGACACAUCCAGCAAAGAUUGACUCAUGGGUAGUGAAGGGCAUGAGGACAAAGAGUGAGGCUGGUGUAGAUGCUUAGAUAAAUGAAGAAGCAGAUAUAUAAGGGGCAAGGUGAUGGGUUUAAUUUGCCCAUACAGAAUUUAUGUAUUAAGAUAUAUCUCAGGCCGGGCACGGUGGCUCACGCCUAUAGUCCCAGCACUUUGGGAGGCCAAGGCAAGCAGAUCACCUGAGGUCAGGAGUUCAAGACCAGCCUGGCCAACAUGGUGAAGCCCCAUCUUUACUAAAAAUACAAAAAAAUUAGCUGGGUGUGGUGGCAGGCACC